AGGGUUGUGGCUCAGAGGUAGAGCGCUUGUCUAGCAUGCAUGAGACCCUGGGUUCAAUCCUUAGCACCACAU
rnacentral:tRNA from 1 species